UCAGCUACUGCUGGGAGUUCCAAAAAUGGCUAAUGGAACUGCUAAGAACCAAGCUUCGGCUAUCAUUGAUACAUUAAAUCAAUGGAAUGUCAGUUCUCAUGUUAAAGCAAUGUGUUUUGACAGGACAGCUGUGAACACAGGUAUUCAUAACGGUACAGUACUAUACUAGAGAGAACAUUUGGCCGAGAAUUGAUUUAUUUACCGUGCCGCCAUCAUAUUUUUCAAAUAAUUUUGAAAGCCAUUUUCGACAAAAACUGGCCUGCACAAAAUGGUCCCAAUGUAUCGAUAUUUUCGAGGUUCAAAAAUAUUUGGAAUAGCAUUGGCCAAUCGAAAUAUAAAAGUGGUAUGGCCGAUGAAACUGUUGCGAAUGUUUUAGCAGAAAAACGACACGAGUUACUCGUUUUCAUCAAUAACCAUCUGCAGGUGUCUCACUCCAGGAAUGAUUACAAAGAGCUUUUGCAAUUGUCAACAAUUUUUCUAAGAAGUGGCUCAGUUUACACAUUCAAGCGUCCUGGAGCAACCCAUCAUGUGAGAUGGAUGGCAAAGGCGAUUUAUAGUUUAAAAAUUUUCAUGUUUAGAGACGAAUUCAAACUUUUACAGUUCGGGAAACAACCGGUUUGCGAGAAGUUUGCAUUUUCGUAAUCCUUUUUUAUAUUAGAGCAUGGUUCACGGCAACUUUUGCCGCAAUGGCACUGAACAACGAUUUAAACCUAACGCAAGCAUUGCUUCGAUAUCAAAGGAUCAAUUUAUCCGUCUCGCAAUCGGCUCUUAGAAAGAUGGCUUCUCGUUUGUGGUAUUUAACCGGAGAUAACUCCGUUAUAAGGUUCGAUAGUCCAGUCUAAACGGUACAAUAUUCCAGAGAACCAUGUGGAAUUGCUAAUGCAUCGAGAUAUAAGCGACUUUGCUUCAAAAAAAUCAUUGCUAAUGUUCAAAAAAUUCGAUUUGUCGUACGACUUCCUUGGUGAAGACCCAGAAUGAUGGAGUGACAAUGGAAGCUUCAAAGAAUGUUUAGAAUUUUUUAGGAAGUUGGAAGUGACGAAUGAUGUUGCUGAACGCGGUGUCUCAUUAAUAGAAGAGUACAACAAAUGCUUGACUAAAGAUAAGGAGCAAUACCAAUAUUUGUUACAAGUUGUGCAAAAACAUCGGAAGAGCUAUCCUAACUAUAAUAAAAAAAAUCUUGCAG